UACGGAGGGGGCUAGCGUUGUUCGGAAUUACUGGGCGUAAAGCGCACGUAGGCGGCUUUGUAAGUUAGAGGUGAAAGCCCGGAGCUCAACUCCGGAAUUGCCAUUGAAACUGUUGAACUCGAGGACGAGAGAGGUGAGUGGAAUUCCCAGUGUAGAGGUGAAAUUCGUAGAUAUUGGGAAGAACACCGGUGGCGAAGGCGGCUCACUGGCUCGUUUCUGACGCUCAGGCGCGACAGCGUGGGGACCAAACAGG
rnacentral:rRNA from 1 species